CUGGGUUAUGUACGAUCGAGAGAAGGAGGGAGCUAGGAAGAACCAAACCCUAACAACAUAGAAUCCAUCAAAUUGAAAGGGAAAUUGAAGGCUAAUCGAAUGCAUGAACUAGGAAUGUCGAUCACUUAAGUAUCUCCAACAUCAAGGUCGAGGAAAGGAGGGGAAUCAAACCAAGCAAAGGCAAUAGGAGCGCACGACUCCGCUGAAUCUCACUCUUGAUAAUGGCGAGCUUGGAUCGAACACACCACAUCGCCCUUUAUGCGCUUCCGGUUUAGUCAUCUUUGUAAAUGGGUCAAAACACUUUCAUAAUGUAAAUGUUAAGUUUAUGUCUAAGAUGUCUCGUAAGUAAAUUAGGAUUUUUAAAUCUUAAUUUUUGGUAGUUCGGACAAAACACUUUUGAUGGAAUCUUGUAUGGUUACAACUUAUAUGUCUUUUGAAACGCGUCAUAGAAUUUAGUUUGAAUGGUGAUUGCUAAAAGCAGGGAAUUGUAUAUAGUACGAACGGGUCAUGCCCAAUUUUUGUUAAAAA